UACGGGGGGGGGUAAGCGUUGUUCGGACUUCCUGGGCGUAACGGGCUCGUAGGCGGCCAACUAAGUCGGACGUGAAAUCCCUCAGCUUAACUGGGGAACUGCGUCCGAUACUGGAUGGCUUGGAUUUGGGAGAGGGAUGCGGAAUUCCAGGUGUAGCGGUGAAAUGCGUAGAUAUCUGGAGGAACACCGGUGGCGAAGGCGGCAUCCUGGACCAAUAUUGACGCUGAGGAGCGAAAGCCAGGGGAGCAAACGGG
rnacentral:rRNA from 1 species